rnacentral:rRNA from 1 species
CCCUUAGAUGUUCUGGGCCGCACGCGCGCUACACUGAUGCAUUCAACGAGUUCCUACCUUGGCCGAGAGGCCUGGGCAAUCUUUUGAACUUGCAUCGUGAUAGGGAUAGAUUAUUGCAAUUAUUAAUCUUGAACGAGGAAUUCCUAGUAAACGCAGAUCAUCAAUCUGCAUUGAUUACGUCCCUGCCCUUUGUACACACCGCCCGUCGCACCUACCGAUUGAAUGGUCCGGUGAGGCCUCGGGAUUGUGGUUAGUUUCCUUCAUUGGAAGUUAGCCGCGAGAACUUGUCUAAACCUUAUCAUUUAGAGGAAGGUGAAGUCGUAACA